rnacentral:rRNA from 1 species
UUUCAAGUUUAUAAGAGCAAACGGUGGAUGCCUUGGCAUCUGGAGCCGAAGAAGGACGUAGUAAUCUGCGAUAAGCCUCGGGGAGCCGAUAAACGGGCUGUGAUUCGAGGAUUUCCGAAUGGGGAAACCCCGCCAGGGCGCGUGCGUACCUGGUGACUCCCGCCUGAAUAUAUAGGGCGGGUAGAGGGAACGUGGGGAAGUGAAACAUCUCAGUACCCACAGGAAGAGAAAACAACAGUGAUUCCGGUAGUAGUGGCGAGCGAACCCGGAUGAGGCUAAACCGAUUAUGUGUGAUACCUGGCAGGGGUUGCAUAGUCGGGGUUGCGGGACAUACCGUGAGGCGCUGCUGAGCCUCGAACGUGAGAGUGAAGCUAUAGGAGAACCGCUUGGAACGGCGGACCGGAGUGGGUGAGAGUCCCGUAUCCGAAAUGGUUUUACCGCGUGGUGUGUAUCCCAAGUAGCACGGGGCCCGAGAAAUCCCGUGUGAAUCAGUCAGGACCACCUGAUAAGCCUAAAUACUUCCAGAUGACCGAUAGCGGACUAGUACCGUGAGGGAAAGGUGAAAAGUACCCCGGGAGGGGAGUGAAAUAGUACCUGAAACCGUUUGCUUACAAUCCGUCGGAGCACCCUUGUAGGUGUGACGGCGUGCCUUUGAAGAAUGAGCCUGCGAGUUAGCGAUAUGUGGCGAGGUUAACCCGUGUGGGGAAGCCGUAGCGAAAGCGAGUCUGAAUAGGGCGAUUCAGUCGCAUGUCCUAGACCCGAAGCGAAGUGAUCUAUCCAUGGCCAGGUUGAAGCGCGUGUAAGAGCGCGUGGAGGACCGAACCCACUUAGGUUGAAAACUGAGGGGAUGAGCUGUGGAUAGGGGUGAAAGGCCAAUCAAACUUCGUGAUAGCUGGUUCUCUCCGAAAUGCAUUUAGGUGCAGCGUUGCGUGUUUCUUGCCGGAGGUAGAGCUACUGGAUGGCCGAUGGGCCCUACAAGGUUACUGACGUCAGCUAAACUCCGAAUGCCGGUAAGUGAGAGCGCAGCAGUGAGACUGUGGGGGAUAAGCUUCAUAGUCGAGAGGGAAACAACCCAGAUCACCAACUAAGGUCCCAAAGCGCGUGCUAAGUGGAAAAGGAUGUGGAGUUGCUGUGACAACCAGGAGGUUGGCUUAGAAGCAGCCACCCUUGAAAGAGUGCGUAAUAGCUCACUGGUCAAGUGAUUCCGCGCCGACAAUGUAACGGGGCUCAAGCACGCCACCGAAGUUGUGGCAUUCAUAUAACAGGUAGGCCUUCGUGGUCCAGCCGUAUGGAUGGGUAGGAGAGCGUCGUGUGGCGAGUGAAGCGGCGGUGUGAACCAGCCGUGGAUGCCACACGAGUGAGAAUGCAGGCAUGAGUAGCGAAAGACGGGUGAGAAACCCGUCCUCCGGAAGACCAAGGGUUCCAGGGUCAAGCUAAUCUUCCCUGGGUAAGUCGGGACCUAAGGCGAGGCCGACAGGCGUAGUCGAUGGACAACGGGUUGAUAUUCCCGUACCGGCGGUAAACCGUCAAAGACCUAACUAGUAGUGCUAAGCAAUCCAAAGCUGACUGGAUCCUUCGGGUGAUGGUUUGUGGCGGCUGCGAACCCGAACUGGGGUGGUGAGCGUGAGGUGUGACGCAGGAAGGUAGCCUGUGCCGGGCGAUGGUUGUCCCGGUGUAAGUGCGUAGGCUGAGGGAUAGGCAAAUCCGUUCCUCGUGAAGGCUGAGACACGACGCGGACCCGUAUGGGGAAGCAGGUGAUCCUAUGCUGCCAAGAAAAGCAUCGACGUGAGGUUUGCUGUUGCCCGUACCCCAAACCGACUCAGGUGGUCAGGUAGAGAAUACUCAGGAGAUCGAGAUAAUCAUGGUGAAGGAACUCGGCAAAAUGCCCCCGUAACUUCGGGAGAAGGGGGCCAUCCACUUAUACGGAUUUACUCCGGAAAGGGUGUGGUGGCCGCAGAGACCAGUGGGAAGCGACUGUUUACUAAAAACACAGGUCCGUGCUAACACGCAAGUGGACGUAUACGGACUGACGCCUGCCCGGUGCUGGAAGGUUAAGAGGAGAGGUUAGACCUUUGGGUCGAAGCUUUGAAUUUAAGCCCCAGUAAACGGCGGUGGUAACUAUAACCAUCCUAAGGUAGCGAAAUUCCUUGUCGGGUAAGUUCCGACCUGCACGAAUGGCGUAACGACUUCCCAGCUGUCUCCACCGUGAACUCGGCGAAAUUGCAGUACGAGUAAAGAUGCUCGUUACGCGCAGAAGGACGGAAAGACCCCGUGACCUUUACUACAGCUUGGUAUUGGUGUUCGGUGUGGCUUGUGUAGGAUAGGUGGGAGACUGUGAAGCGGGCACGCUAGUGUUCGUGGAGUCGUUGUUGAAAUACCACUCUGGUCAUAUUGGAUAUCUAACUACGAACCCUGAUCGGGUUUUAGGACAGUGCCUGGUGGGUAGUUUAACUGGGGCGGUUGCCUCCUAAAAAGUAACGGAGGCGCCCAAAGGUUCCCUCAACCUGGUUGGCAAUCAGGUGGCGAGUGUAAGUGCACAAGGGAGCUUGACUGUGAGACUGACAGGUCGAGCAGGGACGAAAGUCGGGACUAGUGAUCCGGCAGUGGCUUGUGGAAGCGCUGUCGCUCAACGGAUAAAAGGUACCUCGGGGAUAACAGGCUGAUCUUGCCCAAGAGUCCAUAUCGACGGCAUGGUUUGGCACCUCGAUGUCGGCUCGUCGCAUCCUGGGGCUGGAGUUGGUCCCAAGGGUUGGGCUGUUCGCCCAUUAAAGCGGUACGCGAGCUGGGUUUAGAACGUCGUGAGACAGUUCGGUCCCUAUCCUCUGCGCGCGUUGGAGAUUUGAGAGGAUCUGACCCUAGUACGAGAGGACCGGGUUGGACGGACCUCUGGUGUGCCAGUUGUUCUGCCAAGGGCAUGGCUGGUUGGCUACGUUCGGGAUGGAUAACCGCUGAAAGCAUCUAAGCGGGAAGCCGGCCUCGAGAUGAGAUCUCCUUACACCUUUGAGUGUGUGAGGCUCCCAGUAGAUGACUGGGUUGAUAGGCCAGAUGUGGAAGCACUGUAAGGUGUGGAGCUGACUGGUACUAAUAAGCCGACGACUUGAUUUC